GCCCCUGUAGCCGAAUGGAUAGUGCGUUGGACUUCUAAUCCAUCGGUCGUGGGUUCGAAUCCCACCUGGGAUG
rnacentral:tRNA from 1 species